GAUGAACGCUGGCGGCGUGCCUAAUACAUGCAAGUCGAGCGAACAGACGAGGAGCUUGCUCCUCUGACGUUAGCGGCGGACGGGUGAGUAACACGUGGAUAACCUACCUAUAAGACUGGGAUAACUUCGGGAAACCGGAGCUAAUACCGGAUAAUAUAUUGAACCGCAUGGUUCAAUAGUGAAAGACGGUUUUGCUGUCACUUAUAGAUGGAUCCGCGCCGCAUUAGCUAGUUGGUAAGGUAACGGCUUACCAAGGCAACGAUGCGUGGCCGACGUGUGAGGGGGAUCGGCCACACUGGAACUGAGACACGGUCCAGACGCCUACGGGAGGCAGCAGUAGGGAAUCUUCCGCAAUGGGCGAAAGCCUGACGGAGCAACGCCGCGUGAGUGAUGAAGGUCUUCGGAUCGUAAAACUCUGUUAUUAGGGAAGAACAAAUGUGUAAGUAAAUAUGCACGUCUUGACGGUACCUAAUCAGAAAGCCACGGCUAACUACGUG
rnacentral:rRNA from 1 species